rnacentral:rRNA from 1 species
CCUACGGGAGGCAGCAGUAGGGAAUUUUGCGCAAUGGGCGAAAGCCUGACGCAGCCAAGUAGCGUGAAGGAUGACUGCCCUACGGGUUGUAAACUUCUUUUAUAAAGGAAUAAAGUGAGGCACGUGUGCCUUUUUGUAUGUUCUUUAUGAAUAAGGAUCGGCUAACUCCGUGCCAGCAGCCGCGGUAAUACGGAGGAUCCGAGCGUUAUCCGGCUUUAUUGGGUUGAAAGGGAGCGUAGAUGGGUUGUUAAGUCAGUUGUGAAAGUUUGCGGCUCAACCGUAAACUUGCAAUUGAUACUGGCAGCCUUGAGUACAGUUGAGGUAGGCGGAAUUCGUGGUGUAGCGGUGAAAUGCUUAGAUAUCACGAAGAACUCCGAUUGCGAAGGCAGCCUACUAAACUGCCACUGACAUUGAUGCUCGAAAGUGUGGGUAUCAAACAGGAUUAGAUACCCCAGUAGUC